rnacentral:rRNA from 1 species
CACGUAGGGCGCAAGCGUUGUCCGGAAUUAUUGGGCGUAAAGAGCUCGUAGGUGGUCUGUCGCGUCUGCUGUGAAAACUCGGGGCUUAACCCCGGGCCUGCAGUGGGUACGGGCAGACUAGAGUGCGGUAGGGGAGACUGGAAUUCCUGGUGUAGCGGUGAAAUGCGCAGAUAUCAGGAGGAACACCGGUGGCGAAGGCGGGUCUCUGGGCCGUAACUGACGCUGAGAAGCGAAAGCAUGGGGAGCGAACAGG